CUGAAGGGGCAGAAUUUUUGGACUCACGUCUAUCCCAUUCAAGUCUUUGUUUCCUCUCCCCAUCCCCACCCCAUCCUGCUUGGACAGGAAAAAAGAGAGGAUGCAGAUUGCUGUGAACCAGAAGGAGAUCUCAGCCAAGAAAACUGUUGGAAAACCUGUCUAUUGCAAGGGAGACUUCUGCAAAAGGAGAAGAAGGUCUCUGAGGCCUACAUCAGAGCCACAGGACUUGAAAGACUCAAUAAACUGUUGGAAAUAGGGGAUAUAAAGUCGAUGUUUAUCAGGAGCAAGCUGGGAGGGGCCUAUCUAUGAUCAUCAAGUAUGAAGGGAGAAAAAAACUGCUGAGCAAAUUGGAAAACAUUAUGGGAGAGAUUAGAUUUUGAUGAACAUCUCACACCCUACAAUAAGAUAAAUUCAGAAUGGGCCUCCCUAUUUCCUGGAUUACAACAAUGUUGAAGAAUAUUAUGUAAAAUUAAGCAGCAGCAAGUUUGAGAGAAUUGACUCCAAUUUUGAGAAAAGCUCUACUGUGAGGUAAAUGCUAUCAUCAAAUAGCAUAGAAUGUUACAAAGAAAGCUUAGAAGGAAUGAAGAGUCAAUCUAUGAAGCAAAAUUCACCAUCAUCUUAUUUUGAGAAAUUGCCACAGCAACCAUCACCCUGAGCAAUGAGCACUCAACAACUUAGAGGCAAGAGCCUGCACAAGCCAAAAGAUGACAAAUGACUAAAGGCUCAGAUGAUGGUUAGCAUUUGUAAAUUAAGGAAAAGAGAAAGCAGGAAAAAAGGAGAAAGCUGUGGGAGAGACCUGAGAACUGGAGAGUUACGACCAUCCUCAGAAGGAAAUGCUUCCUCAGUGUUCCAACUCCUGCAUGGUCCAGCAACCUUAGCACUAGAUGACUGGCAUGGAGAGGUGCCUUAUUAGUCUAUUUCAGAUUUCCCCCAAUUCAUGAACUUCAUGUGUUUCUGAUUUCUAUUAACGAGAUUCCUUAGUAGCUGUUUCCAGUCAAGGAACAGGGAAUGAGGAUCCCAGAACACCUAUUGAAAAGCUCAUCAAAGGAAAACACAUACAGUGUGUCUCACAUACAGUGCCAAAAAGAAGGGGGAAAAGUAAGGGUGAGAACAUACUUUCUGAGAAAUAAAUCCUCUACUGCAAGUCUGA